GCACAUGGCAUGAAGUGAAGACCAGAUCAUUUUUCUCCCAAAUACUUAGUUUCUUAACACUGCUCUUAUAUAAGCUGUUUCUACAUUGGUUAAUGAGGAUGUAUGUUACUUUUGUUGGUUAAUGAGGAUAUGUAUAUUGCAAUUUUAUAUAUCUCAGAAUCUGUUUGCUGUGUCAGUUCUUUUGCCAGUUUUCAUUAUUGUUGCUUCUUAUGUUUCACAAAUUCCUGGACUUUGGGAUGAUGUUUAAAGUCCUUCUCCUACCCUCCCCACCCCCUGUAGAAAUUUCCAUUGGGAAUUAAACUACAUUAAAUUAAAUUAAAUUAAAUUACAUUAAACUAAUGUGGCUCGAGCUGGCCAUUAUACCAGUCACUCUUCGUAUAUCCAAGGUAUCUCUCUUUUUUUCUGCUCUUCUCUCAUGGUUUGUUGUACGUUUUGGUCAUUUGCUUCAAAGAGGCCCCUGUAUUUGUCCUUGUAAAAGAUGUGUUUUUUCCAUAUAACUAUCACCGGAUGGCUAUGGUUGGGACAGCCCUCAGGUUAUCAAUAGCCAAGAAUGCUCUUGAUUUCUAAAAAUGUUCAGUUCCUUCCCUUCACCAAACUGUUAUUUGUUCUAAUAGUUAUCAGUCGAUUCAUUUGAACUUUUUAGAUCGUUAUAUUGUAGCCAGUAAUAUUUCAUUACUUUCUGUCUUAUGUUCUUCUAUGAGCUAAAGGCCUAAAUUUUUUAAAUGAUUGAUGAUAAAGUAGCUACUAUCUGGUAGACAUGAUCUCAUAACUUACCUAAGAGAACAUCCCUCUUCAUUGUGUGGAAAAGUAGUUGGAAAUUAUCACAUUUCCUUCCUAGUGAACCAAUGGAAUCCGUUCCUGUUUUUGGUAGCACAAAUACAAUUUUAGGGGAAACUUGUUAAAAUUGUAGCCUUGAAAACUUAUUUAAAGCAGAUUUUGUUGUUGUCUUUUUGCCAUUUCUUGGGCUGCUUCCAUGGCAUAUGGAGGUUCCCAAGUUAGGGGUCGAAUUGGAGCUCUGUGGUGUAGGUCGCAGACGCGGCUUGGAUCUUGCAUUGCUGUGGCUGUGGCAUAGGCAGGCAGUUGUAACUCAGAUUUGACCCCUAGCUUGGGAACCUCCAUAUGCCUGGGUGCAGCCCUAAAAAGCAAAACAAAAACAAAAACAAAAAAAACCCCAUUGAAUUGGCCCCUGUGUGUGCCAGUGGCGGGGUUGGCAUUGCCCUGCUGUCCCUCGCCCUCCCCGGCCUGGCUGUGGGCCGCAGGACAGCUCCUCUUCGGAGACCUACCUGCUGGUUUGUGUGCUUGUGGUCCCCUGAGUGGACGCCUGGAUUUCAGUGCCCUCAGCGUUGCUUGGAUUUCCAGUGACUUUGAAGCCCGUGGCUCCCGGGCCCAGGUUACCUACGUUUGUGAUUGUGAUUCUGAGAGGCCGCUGCAUCCGCUCCUGUGGAGAGGCUGGCCCUGGUUGUGGGCACAGACCCUGUCCCGUGGGGAGGCUCUGCUUCCCACCCUCACUUCCGGGGAGGGCACAGGCCCGGAGGAGAGACGGCAGGGACGUGCAGCAUCGCGCUGGCUCGAGGGAAGGCCCUGCGGUGGGUGCCGGGCUCUGCUUCUGUUCAGGGCGGCUGCCUGGCCUUCUCCUUAUGCCCCCAGGCGGCCGUGGGGCCCUCUUGAACACACUCUGCCCUGCUGUUGGCGGCGGGGGUGGGGAGAGGGGGCUGGAGGUCCGGGGAGGGGGCCCUGCGGCUCCUCGCUCGCAGCCUCCAUCCGCGUUAGAGGACCUGUUGCCCCAGACGGUAAACUCUGUUCAGCCCUGGAAGCAGAGCCGCGGGAGUGGUCUUGAUGGGGUCAGCUGAGGUCGAUGGUCACCCCAGCGCAGGGGAGAGCUGGGCCUGGACCCCUGACUCCCCUGGGCCCCCCUCUCCUGUGUGACUCCUCGUUUCCUUUUCUCCAAAACGUCGGUCUCGUGCUGACCACUGAACGAGGGGCUGUCUGUGCGGUGCCCGCCGAGUGACUCGAGAAGUAAUGGUCAUAGCAGUGUCACCGUGGUUACCCUUGUGUCUCUCAUCUGUCCUGUCACCAGCCCUGCUGCAAAGGGUGUUACUGAAGCAAUGCCAGCGCUUAGGGGUGUCCUCCUCUCUCUCUCUUUGCUUUCGGCUGCGCCCACAGAAUGUGGAAGUUCCCCGGCCGUGGAUGGAACCUGCACCAUAGCAGCGACCUGAGCCGCUGCAGUGACAGCGCCGGAUCCUUAACCUGCUGUGCCCCCCAGGGACCCCUGAGAUGCUCUUAUCUGAUCUGCCGUAAAGGUGAAACAUCUUCAAGGCCAGCUGCAGUUUUGAUAUUUGAGAAAUAUCAGAAAGUCCCAGGACUGCAGAGACUGUAAACCUGCUCGCUAACCAGAGUGUGUUUGGCAGGGGUGGCGCCUCCCUCCCGGGGUACCUUGACUGCCGGGCACCUGAAGGGGCGCCCUGGGCUCCUUUAAGUAGCGCUUCCCCCAGCGUCUCCGACACGCAGGUGCAGGGCGGUCCCUUUCUGUUCAGAGAUGGGGAUUAGCCAGGAGCCGGAUCUCAGCUGAAUGAGUUUCGUGUUUGAGGAGCGCAGACAAUUAAAUGCUGGAAAGCGGCUCGGGGAGGCGGCUUGAACUUUAAGAAUGCCCCCCCUUUUCCUCGCGUCUCCCACUUCGCCCUGAGAUUUUUCACAUUUAUAUUAAUUUUCUCCACGGCUCGCAUUAGGUUAUAUAAUAGAAUGUGAAUUUCAAAUAAAUGUCAAAAUCAGAAAAUAAGGCUGUCAUCCUUCACAGGCAGCUAUGGAGAACAUGGACUCCUCUUUUUGAAGCAUUUUUUGUCACACGAAGCACAGCUUGUCACCAACAGAACUAGGAAAUCUCUCUAAAGACUGAAGCCCCGAAGGGUGUUGGGGUUAUGGGAGGAUGUGGCGGAGAGGAAGGGCGGGUUGGGGACCCCUGGGCCCGGUUCGCCUCUCGCUGGCCCCGGGAUGACCUGUCCCCUGGCUGGACCCAGCUUCUCGUCUGCAGAGUGAAGAUGUUAAACUGGGCGCUCUGCAGUGUCUUUUCCGUAUUCACGCUGUGAGUGCAGGUUCGAGGCCCCCCUCUGCAUAUCUUACUCAGCCAUUCCUGUAAAAGCAAAAGGCACGGUCUUCCUCAGGCUCAUGGAACUUGUGUGGAUAAAAUGCAUCACCGCCCCCAGCAGUGAUUUCUCUGUGUGUGUGUGUGUGUGCGCGCGUGUGCGUGUGCGUGUGCGCGUGCGCGUGCAUGCGUGCAUGUUUUUUUUUUUUGCAUUACUGGAGCCCUUAAGGCUACUUUGCUUGAAAUGCCAGUUUAUAAAAUACACACUCAGAGGGCUGUGGGCCACUAGGGCUUGUGCCCCGCUUUUCUGUCUGGUUUUCACCCCCUGAGCCCCUUCUGUAGGGCCGAAGGGUUUGACAUCUAGACCCACGCUCCUGAGUGCACCGUUGUUUUCUUGCUCUACUUCUGUUCUUUCUUUUUUCUCACUUUUUCAUUCCAUUUUGAACAUCUGCAAGCGUACAGCACAGUGUGAAAAAUGCUUGCGAUGAAGCUUUGUAGAGCCACCACCUGGGUUCUUGUAAUUAACCCGUGAAUACACCCGCUUUGCCCCGUAUCGAUCUGUCUGCAAUGUGUCCAGCCACCAACCCAUCUUUGAGUGUUUGUGUGUGGGGGCUAGAUUUCAAAGUUGUAUCAUUCUGCACUCUCACCAGCAAAACUUGGUUCUACUCCGCAUGCAGCAAAGGUUAGUUAACGAAACUCCAGCAAAACUUGGUUCUACUCCGUAUGCAGCAAAGGUUAGUUAACCAAACUCCAGCAAAACUUGGUUCUACUCCGUAUGCAGCAAAGGUUAGUUAACCAAACUCCAGCAAAACUUGGUUCUACUCCGUAUGCAGCAAAGGUUAGUUAACCAAACUCCAGCAAAACUUGGUUCUACUCCGUAUGCAGCAAAGGUUAGUAACCCAACUCGAGCUGUGGUUGUUCCACACCUUUGUUGUCAUUUGAUGUUGUCAGUCUCUUUAAACGCAGUUAUCCUACUGGGGUAAUGAUGAGGAGGAUGCUGCUAGUGGCGUUCACGGGUUUUGUCUGCACGUCCUUUGCUGACUGACAUGUCAGGCACCUUCCCACACGCCCGUCGGCAUCUGCACGUCUUCUGUGAAGCGCUGGUGGAAAUCUUUUGUCUGUUUGCUUUUAUGCAGGCUCCUUGUCUUUUCAUUAUUACUUGGUAGGGAUUCUUUACAUGUCUCAGCUGCCAUAUUCGUGUUUUGCAAAUAUUGUCUCCCAGUCUUUGGCUUCCUUUUCAUUUUCUUAAAGAUGUCUUUUGAAGAACAGAAAAUGCCAAUUUUCAAAUAUAAUCUUACCAGCAUUCUCUUUCAUGAUUGUGGCUGCCUAUUUUAAGAAACCUGUAUCCUCUCCAACUUACAAAGAUAUCCUCAUAUGGUUGCCUCUGAAAGCUUCCUGUUUUGGUCAGUGGUUUUUCUCUGUAGGUCUUUGGUGUAUCUUGAAUUAAGGUAUAUCCUCAGAGGUUGGAGGCUCUGCCUUUUGGCCUCCCUCAGCACAAGCCGCUUCUGUCCCCCUGGGUGACUAAUGUGUGUAGACGCUUGUGGCUGGGUUCCUGUACGUUCUAGUCUUUCUUCACCUCGUCCCACAAAUAUUAAUUGUCUCUCAGGUGUCAGGUGCUAGACCUGGUUUGGGGUAUAGAGUGUUGAGCAAAAUACAAGUAAUGCAUGUCACCAUGGAGCUGGUAGUCCAGUAAGGAUAAAUAGUCAGGGAGCCGGUGAACACUGAAUCUAGAGAAGUCUUUUUUGUCCUAUGAAACUCACCUUAAUUCAGUAUUUGAAAAUCAGUCGUUCUAUUUUUUAAUUUAUUUUUUUGUCUUUUAGGGCUGCACCCACGGUAUAUAGAGGUUCCCAGAUUAGGGUCAAAUCAGAGCGGUAGCCGCCAGCCUACGCCACAGCCACAGCAACAUGGGAUCUGAGCUGCAUCUGCGACCUAUACCACGGCUCACGGCAACACUGGAUCCUUAAUCCACUGAGCAAGGCCAGGGAUGGAACCCGCAUCCUCAUGGAUGCUAGUCGGGUUCGUUAGCCACUGAGCCACAAUGAGAACUCCAAAACCAGUCAUUCUAAUCCACCAUAUCAGCAGGCUGGAGAAAAUCAUGUGGCCUGAUAAUUGACGUGGAAAAAGCAUUUCACGAAAUCCAGCACUCGUUCAAGAUAAAACUGCAGCCAACUAGGCUAGAGGGGCACCCUCCGCUGGGUGGAGAGCACCUGUGAAGAUGCUCCGGCUGACGUCGUGUGUGCUGCCGAGAGAUGGGAUGCUUUCCCCCUACUCCUGGGAACAAGGCAAGGAUGUCUGCUUGUGUCGGGACUUCCAGCAACUGUAACAAGGCAGGAGCAAGAAGUCAGGGCCAUUCGUGUCGGACCAGAAGAAAGAAAACUAUCCCUGUUUGGAGAUGAUAUGAUUGUCUGAGCGGAAAAUCCCAAAGAAGGAGGUGUCAGAAACCAAACAGCACCUGUAAAAUGAAUUCCUGCUAGGUUGCAGGAUAUCAUAUCCAUGAGUAAAAAUCCAUCACGUGCAUACGCGCAGUAAACAUGUGGGAACCAAAAUUAGACAAAACUGUAAUCACAGUGCCUCUCAGGACACAGGCAUACGUUUCACAGAACCCCUCUCGGGUCUGUGUGGCGAGUACCAAGUGCUGAUGAGAGAAAUCAAAGCCCUGAACAAAGGGAGAGACUGGGCUCGCAGGUCGAAAGAGUCAGCACAGCUAAGACCAGUUUUCCCCUGCUGUCCAAGGCGAUUACUGUGAAACCCGAGCAAGGUCCCUUUCUUCCCCCACUCAAUAUCCCUCCAAUAAAGCACUAACCAUGCAGACUUAUUAGAUUUCAACCCUUGAGCACUGCUUUUUUUUUAGAAAGUUUUUAUUCUUUUUUUUUUUUUUUUUUUGCGUUUUAGGGCCGCACUCGCGGCACAUGGAGGUUCCCAGGCUAGGGGUUGAACUGGAGCUGGAGCUGCCAGCCUACACCACAGCCACAGCAUGGGGGGAUCCGAGCUGUGUCUGUGACCUACAGCAUAGCUCACAGCAACACCAGAUCCUCAACCCACUGAGCGAGGCCAGGGAUUGAAUCUGCGUCCUCAUGGAUGUUGGAUUCAUCACCCCUCAGCCACAGCGGGAACUCCUACAGCUUUUAUUUUAGAACAGUUUUAGAUUUAUAAAACCCUUUGGGAGAUAGUGCAGAGUUUCCACACAUCACACGUUGUUUUUCCUGUUAUCCUGGACUAGUAAGCUGCCUUAUUAUUAAAUCAGCAGUGAGGCGUUAUUAUUAACCAAAGUCCAUGCUUUAUUCAGACUUCCUUAUUUUUGCAUGAUGUCCUUUUUCCGCUCCAGAAUCCCGUCCAAGAUCCCACUUGACGUUUAGGGGGACGGUGUGUUAGACUUGCCGUGAUACUGGUGACUGGUGUGUGGUGGGUCCACGCUGUCACCAUAGCUUAUCACCACGGCUGUGCAUUUGCUCACCUGGCUGAGGUCGUGUUUGUCAGUUUUCUCCGCUGUAAACGGACUCUUUCUUCCCCNNNNNNNNNNNNNNNNNNNNNNNNNNNNNNNUAAGCAGACAGAAGCUUCUUCUGAAAUUUAUGUAUAAAGGCACAGGUCCUAGAAUCGUUAAAAUAGCUUUGAAAAAGAAUAAAGCCAGUGGAAUGAUUGUAAUUAAAGCCCACUAAAGCUGCACUACACUCCGGCUAAGUGGUGUUGGUGGAGGACAGACCGAAUAGAGAAUCCAGUACCAGCAGUUUAACGGAGGAAGGAGAGGCUUUUCAAAAAAUGGUGCUGGAGCAAUUGGACGUCAUUGGCAAGACAACAAUUUUGGCUAAACUCUCACACCUUAUAUAAAAAUCAGCUCAAAAUGAAUCAUGGACUUAGAUUUAAAACUAUCAAUCUUGGGAGUUGCCAUCGUGGCACAUCGGAAAUGAACCCGACUAGGAACCAUGAGGUUGCGGGUUUGAUCCCUGGCGUUGCUCAGUGGGUUAAGGAUCUGGUGUUGCUGUGAGCUUCGGUGUAGGUCGCAGAAGCGGCUUGGAUCCUGUGUGGCUGUGGCUGUGGUGUAGGCUGGCAGCUGUAGCUCUGAUUCGAUGCCUAGCCUGGGAACCUCCAUAUGCCGUGGGUGUGCCCCUAAAAAGACAAAACAAACUAUAAAUCUUGGAGUUCCCAUCAUGGCUCAGUGGUAACGAACCCGCCCAGUAUCCAUGAGCUCACGGGUUUGAUCCCUGGCCUCAAGGCAUUGCCAUGAGCUUUGGUGUAGGUUGCAGACACGGCUCUGAUCCUAAGUUGCUGUGGCUGUGGUGUAGGCCAGCAGCUGCAGCUCUGAUUCCACCCCUAGCCUGGGAACUUCCAUAUGUCUCAGGUGCGACCCUAAAAAGACAAAAACAAACAAACCAAAAAACCCAUGUAAGUCUUUUAGGGAAAAGUUUAGAAGAAAAUGUUAAGGAUCUGGAACUUGGUAAAUGCUUCUUAGACUUGACAUGCAGAGUAUGAUUCAUAGGGGAAAAAAUGGGCAAGUUGGACCUCAUUAAAAUAUAGGCUUUUACUCUGCUUAAGGCCUGGCUAAGAUAAUGAAAAGAUGCUUUAAGUCUGGGAGGAAAUAGUAGCAUACUAUGUCUUUGAUAAAGGAACCAUAUCUAAAAUAUACAGAAUUGUCAACAUUCCGCAGUAAAGCAAAGAAACAAAAAGUAGCGCAGUUAGAAAACAUAAAAACCGUUUCACCAAGGAGCCCUCCACUCGGCAAGUAAACCCACCGAGGUGUCCCCAUCAUUACUCAUUAGGACACGGAAAUUUAAACCACCGCGACACAUCACUGCAUAUCUGUCAAAAUGGCCAAAAUAAAAAACAGUGAGAACCCCCGGUGCUGGGGAGGAUGCGGGGAAACCACAUCCCUCACACAGUGUCAGGGAGAAGGAAAGAUACGGCAACUCUGGGAGCUGGUCUGGCCGUUUCAGAUAAAACCAAGUAUCCAGCUACUAGCGCGCCAGCUACUGCCUUCUUGGCUGUUUGCCCAGGAGAACUGAAAACACAUGAAAACAUGAAAACACAUGCUCCAUAAGAGUCUAUGCGUUGAUGUUCUUAGCGGUAGCUUUUUUUUUUUUUUUUUUUUUGGUAAAUAGCCCAGACCUGGAAACCCUCGGCCGUCCUUCACAGGACGGGGCUUGCACAGACCAGCGCGUUCUCACUGUGGUGUGAAGCACAAGCUCAGUUUCCCCCUCCUUCUGGGGUGACGGAAACUGGGUUUGCCCUACCGUGUGUUUCUCUGUCCCGCGUGUGCCUCCUUGACCUGCACAGGUAACCUUUCCCUUCUGACGCUUCUGGUCCCCAAAGGUGCGAAGGCUUUCCCCACACCAACAAGCAAUUCUCGAACGGCAGCUGGGUGUCCUGUGGUUCAACUCAGCUCUGACACUGACUGUGUCCUGGAGAUAUUGCCAGAUCCCCCAGGUUAAGGGCCGACCCCCUCAGCACGAAGGCUGCCCCCCUCCUUUUAAGUUAAUUUAAGUGUACAGUAUUUUAUUUCGCAAGCCCUUUAGAGUUGGGCCCUUAAGCUGUUUCCAAAUGGGACUUCUCACCGAUUUUGCUUUGCCCUGUUCAGUCGUUUAGAGGCAGUACACUUUCAUAAUCCCUAUAAAAAGUCAAGGACACCUAACAGACUCCUCUGGCAAUAAAAAUUUGAAAACUGCCUUUUUUUUUUUUCUGUUUAUAAGGUAGGUCGUCAAUUGGCAGGAUGUUCUUUGAAGGUAACUGAUUU
rnacentral:lncRNA from 1 species